rnacentral:rRNA from 1 species
GGUUAAGCGACUAAGCGUACACGGUGGAUGCCCUGGCAGUCAGAGGCGAUGAAGGACGUGCUAAUCUGCGAAAAGCGUCGGUAAGGUGAUAUGAACCGUUAUAACCGGCGAUGUCCGAAUGGGGAAACCCAGUGCAAUUCGUUGCACUAUCGUUAACUGAAUACAUAGGUUAACGAGGCGAACCGGGGGAACUGAAACAUCUAAGUACCCCGAGGAAAAGAAAUCAACCGAGAUUCCCCCAGUAGCGGCGAGCGAACGGGGAGCAGCCCAGAGUCUGAAUCAGCUUGUGUGUUAGUGGAACGGUCUGGAAAGUCCGACGGUACAGGGUGAUAGUCCCGUACACCAAAAUGCACAGGCUGUGAACUCGAAGAGUAGGGCGGGACACGUGGUAUCCUGUCUGAAUAUGGGGGGACCAUCCUCCAAGGCUAAAUACUCCUGACUGACCGAUAGUGAACCAGUACCGUGAGGGAAAGGCGAAAAGAACCCCGGCGAGGGGAGUGAAAAAGAACCUGAAACCGUGUACGUACAAGCAGUGGGAGCACCUUCGGGUGUGACUGCGUACCUUUUGUAUAAUGGGUCAGCGACUUAUAUUCUGUAGCAAGGUUAACCGUAUAGGGGAGCCGCAGGGAAACCGAGUCUUAACUGGGCGUUAAGUUGCAGGGUAUAGACCCGAAACCCGGUGAUCUAGCCAUGGGCAGGUUGAAGGUUGGGUAACACUAACUGGAGGACCGAACCGACUAAUGUUGAAAAAUUAGCGGAUGACUUGUGGCUGGGGGUGAAAGGCCAAUCAAACCGGGAGAUAGCUGGUUCUCCCCGAAAGCUAUUUAGGUAGCGCCUCGUGAACUCAUCUUCGGGGGUAGAGCACUGUUUCGGCUAGGGGGUCAUCCCGACUUACCAACCCGAUGCAAACUACGAAUACCGAAGAAUGUUAUCACGGGAGACACACGGCGGGUGCUAACGUCCGUCGUGAAGAGGGAAACAACCCAGACCGCCAGCUAAGGUCCCAAAGUCAUGGUUAAGUGGGAAACGAUGUGGGAAGGCACAGACAGCCAGGAUGUUGGCUUAGAAGCAGCCAUCAUUUAAAGAAAGCGUAAUAGCUCACUGGUCGAGUCGGCCUGCGCGGAAGAUGUAACGGGGCUAAACCAUGCACCGAAGCUGCGGCAGCGACACUAUGUGUUGUUGGGUAGGGGAGCG